GAUGAACGCUGGCGGCGUGCUUAACACAUGCAAGUCGAGCGAUGAAGUUUCCUUCGGGAAACGGAUUAGCGGCGGACGGGUGAGUAACACGUGGGUAACCUGCCUCAUAGAGUGGAAUAGCCUUCCGAAAGGAAGAUUAAUACCGCAUAAUGUUGAAAGAUGACAUCGUCAUUCAACCAAAGGAGCACUCCGCUAUGAGAUGGACCCGCGGCGCAUUAGCUAGUUGGUGGGGUAACGGCCUACCAAGGCGACGAUGCGUAGCCGACCUGAGAGGGUGAUCGGCCACAUUGGGACUGAGACACGGCCCAGACUCCUACGGGAGGCAGCAGUGGGGAAUAUUGCACAAUGGGGGAAACCCUGAUGCAGCAACGCCGCGUGAGUGAUGAAGGUUUUCGGAUCGUAAAGCUCUGUCUUUGGGGAAGAUAAUGACGGUACUCAAGGAGGAAGCCACGGCUAACUACGUGCCAGCCGCCGCGGUAA
rnacentral:rRNA from 1 species